rnacentral:rRNA from 1 species
CGGGGGGCAGCAGCAGUGAGGAAUAUUGCACAAUGGGGGGAACCCUGAUGCAGCAACGCCGCGUGGAGGAUGACGCAUUUCGGUGUGUAAACUCCUUUUAUAUGUCAAGAAAAUGACGGUAGCAUAUGAAUAAGCGCCGGCUAACUCCGUGCCAGCAGCCGCGGUAAUACGGAGGGCGCAAGCGUUACUCGGAAUCACUGGGCGUAAAGGACGCGUAGGCGGGUUGAAAAGUCAGGUGUGAAAGCCUACAGCUUAACUGUAGAACUGCACUUGAAACUCUCAACCUAGAGUAUGGGAGGGGCAGAUGGAAUUAGUGGCGUAGGGGUAAAAUCCGUAGAUAUCACUAGGAAUACCUAAAGCGAAGGCGAUCUCCUGGAACAUUACUGACGCUAAGGCGUGAAAGCGUGGGGAGCAAACAGGAUUAGAUACCCGGGUAGUC